AACCUCCGCAAUGUGAGAAAUCGCGACGGGGGGAUCCCAAGUGCCAUUCUUAACGGGAUGGCUUUUCAUUAGUGUAAAGAGCUUUUGGAAUAAGAGCUGGGCAAGACCGGUGCCAGCCGCCGCGGUAACACCGGCAGCUCUAGUGGUAGCAAUUUUUAUUGGGCCUAAAGCGUCCGUAGCCGGUUUAAUAAGUCUCUGGUGAAAUCCUGUAGCUUAACUGUGGGAAUUGCUGGAGAUACUAUUAGACUUGAGAUCGGGAGAGGUUAGAGGUACUCCCAGGGUAGAGGUGAAAUUCUGUAAUCCUGGGAGGACCGCCUGUUGCGAAGGCGUCUAACUGGAACGAUUCUGACGGUGAGGGACGAAAGUUAGGGGCGCGAACCGGAUUAGAUACCCGGGUAGUCCUAACUGUAAACGAUGCGGACUUGGUGUUGGGGUGGCUUUGAGCUGCUCCAGUGCCGAAGGGAAGCUGUUAAGUCCGCCGCCUGGGAAUAGGGUCGCAAGACUGAAACUAAGGAAUU
rnacentral:rRNA from 1 species